rnacentral:lncRNA from 1 species
UUUUUUUUUUAUUUUUUCUUUUACUUGAUAAGUGAAAUUCUUUUGUAACUAACGCACUGUAAGGAAAUGCUCACUAAAACUAAAAGAGGUUUGAAAGAAUAGAAAAACUAAGUUAAAUUUUAUAUAGAAUAAUGUAAUUCCUUAUAUCUAUUUUUUCCAAUUUUAUUUGGCUAUUAAUUUCCUUAAAGCUUCGUUGCACAUAUUAUGCAAAGAAAAACUUCACCCUGGCUCUACCCUCCUACGAUUUUGAGUAAUAUCUUGCUAUUUGUUUUCUGGUUUUUGUUUUUUUAGGGCUGCACCUGUGGCAUAUGGAAGUUCCCAGGCUAGGGACCAAAUCAGAGCUACAGCUGACGGCCUACACCACAGUCACAGCAACUUAGAAUCCGAGACUCAUCUGCAACCUACACCAUAGCUCAUGGCAACACCAGAUCCUUAACCCACUAAGAGAGGCCAGGGAUUGAACACACAUCUUCAUGGACACUGGCUGUGUUCGUAAUCCACUGAGCCACAACGGGAACUCCAUGCCUUGCUAUUUGUUGAGAAGGUUUAGACAGUUGAUUGUUCGUUCAUUUGUUUGUUUUUAAUAACCUCCAGCUUUUGGAGAGUUUCUUUUUCUACCUUUUCUCUUUUUUUCCUUUUUACACCCACACCUGUGGCAGAUGGUAGUUCCUAGGCUAGGGGUCGAAUUGGAGCUGCAGCUGCUGGCCUACACCACAGCCACAUCAAUGCCAGAUCCAAGCCACGUCUGUGACCUGAACCACAGUUCACGGCAACGCCAGAUCCUUAACCCACUGAGCGAGGCCAGGGAUAGAACUUGUAUCCUCAUAGACGCUAUGUCAGGUUCUUAACCCGCUGAGCCACAAUGAGAACUCCUAAAGAGUUUCUUAAUAUUUCCAAAGCCCUUUCCCAUUCAUGCUCUCAGCUGAACCUCCCGUUAACUUCACAUUACAGUUGAGUAAAAUGAAACUUGGGUGUUCACGAUAACUGUGACCUCCGACAAGUUUACACAGUUGGUAUGAAGUAGAUCUAGGACUCUAAGCCUUCACCCUCCAGAAAUCCCCUAUGAUAAAAAAGAAGCAAAUAAGUUUACUAAAACAUGCUUGAUUGAACAGAAUUUUUUUUAGCGACAGUAGCCUAAGAAGGCACCAGAAUAAGGAGCAUGCAAAAACAGGGACAUUACCAAAAUAAAGCAAAGAGACGCAGGACAAGUCUAGGAUUUAAGGCUUUCACACCCAAGUUUGAAUCCCAGCUCUGCCUCUAGCCACACAGUCACGCUGCUUGGACAUGUGUUAUUUUCAUCUGUUUCACCCCUUUCUGCCUCACUAGGGUGCUAAUUCACAAGGACCAGGGCCUGUCAUUCUUAUCUGCCCCUGAAAUCUCAGCACUCAGCCCAAUGCCUGGCACACACUGAAGGCUCACAAAUAUCUCCUGGAGAUGCUUCAAAGGGCUCCACCAUUUGCAAAAUGGCAUAAGAAUUAGUUUUAGGGGUGGGUAGCAAGGCUUAAGGUAAAAUAGAAAUGCUACCUUCCCAACAAAGGGCAGUUCCCCUGGCUGCCUUUCUCAUGGCCUUGCCCUCACACAGGUCCACUCCUGGAACACACAGUCCCUGGAACACACAUUCCCUGGAAGGCAGGCUGUCAGACAGGCAGGAAUGGAUAUUUGGGUGGUGCCAUCAUUCUGAGCUGCACAGACACAGUAUGACACAGAAAUGAAAAAUGGCCUCGCUGUCAAGAGCUUAAACCAACAUCUCUCAUUUUUAAUGUUCUGCCAGUGAAAAUCUCAGCCACUUUAAAGGAUUGAGUGUCCCAUUUAUAUUGCUUCACUUAGCAAUUGUGUUUUUUUAAGGAAUAAACAUUGCUGCUUGCUGAGCAAAAGCAAAAUGAGAUUUAGUAAAUACCCAACUCAUUUAAUCAGCAUACUCCCUGCAAGGCCCCAAGCUGAUUGCUCAAGAUCAUUUGUUACGGACAAUAAUACAGCAUUCAGAGCAUCCCUCACCAGGACCCUCUCUGUCUGCCCAGUUUAAAGAGGUGGCAGAUGGGAAUGGAAGAGCCUAGACCUCAGUGGAAGACCUCAUUUCAGUCCCAGUUCAACCACAUAUAGGCAUAUAACCUCAGGAAAUAUCCUCCAUUAGUCAGGUCCUCCUACAAAACAGAGCCAAUAGGAUGUGGGGGAAGAUUUCAUCUAAGGAACUGGCCCACAUGACUGCGGAGGCUGGCAAACCCACAGUCUGCAGGGUGGAUUGGCAGGCUGGAAAUUCAGUUAAACGUUGAUGCUGCUGUUGAGUCCAAAAGCAGUCUGGAGGCAGAAUUCCUUCUUCCUCCAAGGACCUCAGUCUUUUCUUUUGAGGCCUUCAACUGAUUGGUUGAGGCCCGCCCACUUUGUGGAGGGUAAUCUGCUUUCCUCAAGGUCAAAUGAUUUAAAUGUUAAUCACAUCUUUUUUUUUUUUUUUAAAAAAAAAAAAGCACUUUUAUUACAUCUAGACUGACACUUGACCAAGCCAGUGGGAACGCAGGCUAGCCAAAUGGACAUGUAAAACGAACCAUCAUACUCUCCAAAGCUCAGUUUCUUCAUCCACAGAUAAAAAGCAUACAAAGUCCAAAGAAAAGUGCCUGGCUUAUAGCAAGUACCAGACCAAGGCAUGCAAAGAAACUGUACUGUUCUAGAGACAUUGAUAGGGCAUCUACUAUGUACCAGGCACUGUUCUAGACCUGAAGAUGUAGAGGUGAGCAGAAGCUGGCCCUUAAAAGACUAUCAUCUAGGGAGGGACACAAAUGCUUCAUCUGUUUAUUAUGACGAUGUGGAAGUCCAAAGGAGGUGGGCACAUCUCAGCUGGAGGAGAGAGGGAUGGUCUCCUGGAGAAAGUAAUGCCUGAGGCUGAUUGCCCAAGAGUGAAAAAACUUUAGCCAAGUCUAGUAGAGUAGAAAAGGCAUUCCAGGCAGCAAUAAGAACAAAGCCAAAGACUCAGAAAUACCAAAGACCACAGUAUAUAUGUGAGAACCAGAGCUGAAAGGGUAAGCUGGUAAGUGGUAGGAGAUGACUCUAGAAAGGUAGGCAAGUCCAGGUCAUGAAGAGCCUUGCUGCCAAAUCAAGAUGCAUGAGUUUCCUUAGGGCUGCCAUAGUGAAUGAACCGCAAACAUGUUGGCUAAAAACAACAGCAGCUUCUUCUCUGACAAUUCCAGAGGGUAGAAAUCUAAAAACAAACAGCCAACCCUGUCAACAGGGUUGUUUCUUGGGGAGAACAGGGAGAAUCUGUCCCAGUCCCCUGCCUAGUUUCUGGUGGUUGCACACCACCCCCACCUCUGCCUCCAUCUUCACUUGAUGUUCCCUGGGUCCACGGUUCCCUCUUCUUAUAAGGACCCCAGUCAUUGGAUUAGGAUGAGCCCUCAUUUUAAGAUGAUUACCUCUGCAAAGACCCUUUUCCAAGUAAGGUCCCAUUCACAAGCACGAGGGGACAGGACUUGAACACAUCUCUGAAGGAAACAAAACUCAAGCCACAACACACAAUUGCAUCACCAUGGCAGGGAUGGUGAGUUUUAUUUAGGCUUUAGCGGGAAGAGGAGAUAGGUCGCUUCCUCUGGUCCUGUUGCUUUGGUCACUGGGAAGCUUGGGAUCAGAUACAUCUCAUGUGCACACAUGGGCCUUCUGGAGGGAGCACAUGUACAGGAACUACCAUUUCUACUUCGUUUAUGAGUAUUAUUUCUGCCGGCCUCUCAUUUUCUUCCUAUCCUUAGGUAUCAGUUGGAGUCCAGACUAACAGGAAACAUAUGGUGCUCUGAAAUUAGUGUAAUUCAAGCAGGCUUUAUUUACAGGAGGGCUACUUACAGAGGUGAGGGCUGGAGGUAGGGGAGGUACACAGGGACCACAGGCCAGUUUCUCGUCCCAAGGGAAAGAACAGGUCCCCUGUCUAGAAACAGAGAUUCUGGUUGAGAAGGUCACCUUGAAAGGAUCCAUGU